ACUCAAAUGAAUUGACGGGGACCCGCACAAGCGGUGGAGCAUGUGGUUUAAUUCGAUGCAGAGCGAAGAACCUUACCUAGGCUUGACAUCUAGCUGCAAGCUCCUGGAAACAGGAGCCCCCUUCGAGGGUGCUAGACAGGUGUUGCAUGGUUGUCGUCAGCUCGUGGCGUGAGCUGUUUGGUUAAGUCCAGCAACGAGCGCAACCCCUGCCCUGUGUUGAAUUCUCACAGGGGACUGCCGGCGUAUAGUCGGAGGAAGGUGGGGAUGACGUCAAAUCCGCAUGGCCCUCUGAUGCCUAGGGCUACACGCAUGCUACAAUGGCCAGUACAGAGCGACUGCUAAACCGCAAGGUGGAGCGAAUCGCAUCAAAGCUGGCCCCAGUUCGGAUUGAGGGCUGCAACUCGCCCUCAUGAAGUCGGAAUCGCUAGUAACCGUGGGUCAGCCAUACCACGGUGAAUACGUUCUCGGGUCUUGUACACACCGCCCGU
rnacentral:rRNA from 1 species